AAAAUGUUUAUUUUUCUGGCUUGAGAGAUUUCUCGAAGGCCAUGUCCCUGCUGCAUUCAGUUGUGAAAGAUGAGCAGCAGCCUCCAGGCAUAGCAGGUAUUAUUGGAGAGACGCCCUUUUGUAUGCGAGCUGCAAAGACUCAUGGGUUGAUAGAAGAGUUGCGUAAUUGUUCAGUAUUUAAUUCUCCCUGGAAUGGCUCAAAGAGGGAGCUAUGUGUGAACUGAACUUGUGGAUAAAUAAGCCUGGCACAGAGCUCCACACCAUCUGCAGACAUUGCAGAAAUGAGCAGGGGAAGCCAACGAGCUGUGAGUGACAGAGAUUAAUCUUCAAAGUCACAAAGGCAUGUAGUUCCGUUUGGAAUUCAGGCAACACUGGAGAGCGUCACAGCCUCGGAACAUUUCUUUGAGGCAAUGAAGACAUUUAUCAGCCAUAAAUCUCAGGUGACUUUGUGUCCUGGAAUCCUUCAUAGGGUGGAAUCAAAAAGAACCCAGAAGAAAAACACUGCCUUUUAAAAGAUGCCACCACAGCAUGGCUUGAUGAGUGGUGCAUAGGUGUGUGCCUGGGAUCUGAACUCACGAACCCUGGGCAACCAGCAUGGAGUGCACAAACUUAACCACUACACCACCAGGCCAGGCCCCCCAGUUCUAUUUUUAAAAUCAAAAUGUAAUGGAAUCUGAAAACUGGAGAAGGGAGAGUGAUGGAGACUAAAGCCCAACAAGGAAGAGACUCUCGAGAAAGCAAUAUCUCAGUCCUUUUGCAAAAAACCCGAUCUUCCAAAGAGGAUUCCUGGAUGUAACUUUCUUAGAAAGAUAAAGUAUUCCUCAAGGAUCCAGGAAGGAACUCAAAAGGAAAGAAAAUCAUUCUGGUAAAUUAAAUAAAUAUGGCGGACCUGAUAAUCUAUCGAGGGAAGUGCACAAGAACAAAUACCUUGUACAUCAGAAGAAGUGCUGUAAAGUGGAUUGAACAAAGCACCACGAACAUGUGGAAUUUGCCCCCUUUUCCAAGUUGAUAGAGAAGAUUGACUACUCAUUUUAGUUUCUGAUGCACAUUCUUCUGAAAGUAAACAAGCGUAGUCUGCUUAGACUGUGGUUACUAUUAUUACUUGUCAUCUUCAGAUAUGGGCAGGACAUUCUGAAUAGAUGAUGUUAUGGAAGGCAAGAAGAUUUUCCUAUGCUCCUACACAAUGUGGCUAAGAGUGUGGGAAAAUGGGCACUCAUAUUUUGUGGGUGGUGGGUGUAUCAGAGGAUGUCAGUAGAAGCAAUUUGGUAAUAUGCCCCCGUGAAGGCUUUCUGCAUCUUGAUUGCUACUGAAUCCUUAAUGCCUAAAAUUCUACUGGAAUAAAUGCAUAAAUUAAUAAAUGCAAAAAUCCUUAAAAUUUUGCAUAGGCUUUGAUGCACAAAUUUUAAUGAUAAGAGUUAGAAAUCAAAUAAACCUAGUAUUAAGAUUUAGCUGUAAGAGUAUUAUCUUAUUAUUUGUAAUACUAAAAGCUCAAAAUGGCUCAUUUGGGUUUAUCAGUAUGAUUGAGCAAAAAUUGCAUAGCAUCCCUACUAUGGAGUAUUAGGCAACCACGAGUGAUGAUGUCGUGCAAGAAUAUAUAAAUGAUACAGAAAAAUGCAUGAGACUGUUUUAUAAGUUGAUCAUAAAGCAAGGCAUGGAAUAUCAAUCCAUUGUUAUAAGAUGAUAAAAUAAGAACUUUUAAAAGGGUGUCAAAGAAGGGAGUUUACCGGAGGCUCAGAUAUUGUCUCUAAUAGAAAAAAUACUU
rnacentral:lncRNA from 1 species